rnacentral:rRNA from 1 species
CCUACGGGAGGCUGCAGUGGGGAAUAUUGGACAAUGGGGGGAACCCUGAUCCAGCCAUGCCGCGUGUGUGAAGAAGGCCCUCGGGUUGUAAAGCACUUUCAGUGAGGAAGAACGCCUGGUGGUUAAUACCCAUCAGGAAAGACAUCACUCACAGAAGAAGCACCGGCUAACUCCGUGCCAGCAGCCGCGGUAAUACGGAGGGUGCGAGCGUUAAUCGGAAUUACUGGGCGUAAAGCGCGCGUAGGUGGCUUGAUAAGCCGGUUGUGAAAGCCCCGAGCUCAACCUGGGAACGGCAUCCGGAACUGUCAAGCUAGAGUGCAGGAGAGGAAGGUAGAAUUCCCGGUGUAGCGGUGAAAUGCGUAGAGAUCGGGAGGAAUACCAGUGGCGAAGGCGGCCUUCUGGACUGACACUGACACUGAGGUGCGAAAGCGUGGGUAGCAAACAGGAUUAGAUACCCCUGUAGUC